rnacentral:rRNA from 1 species
UUAAAUUAAUAAGGGCGUAUGGUGGAUGCCUAGGCAUUAGAAGACGAAGAAGGACGCGACAAACAGCGAAAUUGCCUCGGGGAGUUGUAAGUAAACAUUGAUCCGGGGGUAUCCGAAUGAGGAAACUUACCAAGAAAGGUAUCCUAAAAUGAAUACAUAGUUUUAGUGAAGGAAACCCUGUGAACUGAAACAUCUUAGUAACAGGAGGAAAAGAAAGAAAAAUCGAUUGCCUUAGUAGUGGCGAGCGAAACGGCAAUAGCCCAAACCAAUCUACGGAUUGGGGUAGUAGGACACUUCAUAACGAGAAUAAGAGCUAAAGAUAGCUAAAUGAUUUGGGAAAGUCAGUCAAAGAAGGUGAAAACCCUGUAGGCGAAAUCUGAAGCACUCAGAAGUGAAUCCUGAGUACGGCGGGACACGAGAAAUCCUGUCGGAAGCAACGGGGACCAUCCCGUAAGGCUAAAUACUCUCUAAUGACCGAUAGUGAACAAGUACCGUGAGGGAAAGGUGAAAAGAACCCCGGGAGGGGAGUGAAAUAGAGAAUCUGAAACCAUAUGCUUACAAAAAGUUCGAGCCCGUUAAAGGGUGAGAGCGUGCCUUUUGCAGAAUGAGCCGGCGAGUUAUGGUAUUGUGCAAGGUUAAGUAGAAAAUACGGAGCCGAAGCGAAAGCGAGUCUUAAAAGGGCGAAAAAGUACAAUGCUGUAGACCCGAAACUGAGUGAUCUAGCCAUGAGCAGGUUGAAGUGUAGGUAACACUACAUGGAGGACCGAACCAGGGUACUAUGUAACGUGCUUGGAUGACUUGUGGUUAGCGGUGAAAUUCCAAUCGAACUCAGAGAUAGCUGGUUCUCCCCGAAAUAGGUUUAGGCCUAGCCUUGAAGAAUUUCCUCUGGAGGUAGAGCACUGAAUGUGGAAUGGCCGCGUCUAGCGGUACUGACUGCAAUCAACCUCCGAAUGCCAGAGUAGUUAGCUUCAGGAGUCAGUUUAUGGGUGAUAACGUCCAUAUGCGAGAGAAAAACAAUUCAGACCACCAGUUAAGGUCCCAAAAUAUAUGUUAAGUGGGAAAGGAUGUGGAGUUGCACGAACAGCUAGGAGGUUGGCUCAGAAGCAGCCAUCCUUUAAAGAGUGCGUAAUAGCUCACUAGUCGAGUGGCUCUGCGCCGAAAAUGUACCGGGGCUAAACAUAUUACCGAAACUGUGGAUUUAUGCGAUAGCAUAAGUGGUAGGGGAGCGUUCUAAGGGCGACGAAGAUAGAUCGAGAGGACUAUUGGAGCGCUUAGAAGUGAGAAUGCCGGUGUGAGUAACGUAAGGUAGGUGAGAAUCCUACCCACUGAUUGACCAAGGAUUCCAGGGUCAAGUUCGUCUACCCUGGGUAAGUCAGGACCUAAGGCGAGGCUGAGAAGCGUAGUCGAUGGACAACAGGUUUAUAUUCCUGUACUAUUUAUAGGACUGAAGGAGUGACAAAGGAAGCUAGUAAGAGCCAUUUAAUGGAUUAUGGUCUAAGCACAAAGACUGAUACAUAGGAAAAUCCGUGAUAUCGAACGGUUGAAGUGUGAUGGCGAAGCAGUCUACGGACAGCGAAGACUUAUGAGGCUAAACUUUUUAAAAAAGCUUCUAAAGAAAUGCUAUAAAUACCUGUACUAAGAACCAACGCAGGUGGUCAAGGAGAGAAUCCUAAGGUGAGCGAGAGAACUAUGGUUAAGGAACUCGGCACAAUGAUCCCGUAACUUCGGAAUAAGGGAAGGUCUUGAAAAAGACCCGCAGUGAAUAGGCCCAAGCGACUGUUUACCAAAAACACAGGUUUCUGCAAAAGCGUAAGCUGAAGUAUAGGAGCUGACGCCUGCCCAGUGCUGGAAGGUUAAGAUGAUUUGUAAGAUGGACGAAAGUCGAUAACAUCGAAGCAAUGAAUUGAAGCCCCAGUGAACGGCGGCGAUAACUAUAAUCGUCCAAAGGUAGCGAAAUUCCUUGUCAGGUAAGUUCUGACCCGCACGAAAGGCGUAACGA